rnacentral:rRNA from 1 species
GAUGAACGCUGGCGGCGUGCCUAAUACAUGCAAGUCGAGCGAACAGACGAGGAGCUUGCUCCUCUGACGUUAGCGGCGGACGGGUGAGUAACACGUGGAUAACCUACCUAUAAGACUGGAUAAACUUCGGAAACCCGAGCCAAUACCCGAUUACCUGUUUAACCCCCAUGGUUAAACAGUAAAAGCGGGUUUUGCUUUAACUAUUGAUUGAAUCCCCGCCGCAUUAGCUAGUUGGUAAGGUAACGGCUUACCAAGGCAACGAUGCGUAGCCGACCUGAGAGGGUGAUCGGCCACACUGGAACUGAGACACGGUCCAGACUCCUACGGGAGGCAGCAGUAGGGAAUCUUCCGCAAAGGGCGAAAGCCUGACGGAGCAACGCCGCGUGAGUGAAGAAGGUCUUCGGAUCGUAAAACUCUGUUAUUAGGGAAGAACAAAUGUGUAAGUAACUAUGCACGUCUUGACGGUACCUAAUCAGAAAGCCACGGCUAACUACGUG